rnacentral:lncRNA from 12 species
GAAGCAGAAAAUGUCAUCGUAUCAGAAGACUAAGCAAGAAUAUGAAAGGAUAAAGGAGGAACGUGCAAGAAAACAAGAGGAAUUCUUGAAAGACAAAGCUCAGUGAGAGGAGGCGCUGAAAAUAUAUAAGGAGAAGAAAAUGGCCACAUAUCAGUUGUUGAAGAGAAAAACCAAGAAAGCCUGGAGAAGAGCAGCUCCACAGGGACGUCUCAUUCCCCUCACACUCCACCUCAUCCAGCCAUAUGGGUCCAGAACCAGGACCAAACCAGGCUGGUACCUGCUGGUUACUGAGGGCCACACCAAGUUCAGCCCCGGUAAAACACUGCAAAACGUUUUAUAAAUGGAAACGGUGGUGCGUUGAACACCCUGUUCUGAUGACGCAAGAGUUGCAACUAUGAAGAAUUUUCGGAGCCUGGUAAAAUCGGUAUAAUCGCAUUUCAGGAUGAAAAGACAAACAGAAUGAAACUGGUCACUCAACAAUACAAUAGCAAAAUAUAUAAAUAUGUAUAGUAUGUUACAUUAUUAAUCAGUGUCUAGCUGGCACACCUCCCUAAGGAGAGGAUAUGGACCAGAAGACAUUGUAAUUACUAAAUGAUAUUAGACAGACUUAAAGAAGUUCCAGAUCUAUACGCCUACUUGUCCUCUUAUUAUUUCAGUUAUUUUGCCUUUAAUGUAAAUAAACAUGUGCAAACAAUAUAAUUGCUCUUGUGAAUUUAUUUUGAUGUUAAUUGUAUUAUGAAAGCGGAUUGGUCUGACAUUUUUGACACAGCCACCCAGGGCCGCUGCUGGCCAAAUGGGUGCCCUAAGCAGGAUUGUAUUGUUGUGCCCCCUCCCUAAAAUAUUAUGGAAGUAAUAAUAAUAAUAAUAAUAUAAACACCAAUUAAAGGGGUCAAAAUAGAACUUUAAUAAAAUAUAAAAAGUAAAUAAAUAAAUAAAUAAAUUGUAAUUAAAUUGUAUUAUUUACUAAUUACAAUUGUAGCUCUAGACAGUUAUGUAUGAUU